UUUAUUUUAUUUAAAGGCCUUUUUUUAUAGUUUUGCUUUUACUUUUGUCAGUUUUGAUCCUCCAUAAAAUCUUCAUUAACUAGUUUACAUUGUCAGUGUGAAUAUUCUUUUGAAAAAGUAUGAAAAAUGAGCUGAACAUACUGAACACAUCAGCUUUGGCUCUACAGCAAUUGAUGGUUGGUUUGGUUUUGUUCUUUUGCCUCACCUAGAUGGUUCAGAUUACCAUACGAGUCUUAACGUCAGAGAAAGAGAACUUGUCAAAACUGAAUUAUUGAUAUUUGCAAAGUCACGCCAAGGGAUUUAGAUCAAGUUUACAUCCGGAGCACCAUUUUGUGUUUCUUUUUUAGCUAUUUGGAGGUUGACUUGCUAGUGUGCUUUGGAUCAUAGACAUGUGACAUGAUCCUGCUUGAGCUGACAUUCAAAAACAAAUGGUGGGAUAUUCCACAUUUUUCACUUUUUUAAUUUAUAAGAAAAAAUAAUGGACACAUAUUAUCAUACCACUACCACCAUGUUUGAUGUUUUUUUCUGAAAUUGUUUGGUAGUUUUACGCUGAUGUCACGAGCCUUGAAAAAAGUUUAACGUUUUUCUUGAUGAAUCAGAGAAUAUUUUUUUAAAUGUUUUAGGAACAUCUAGAUUUUUUUAUUUAUUUUUUUUUUAUAAAUGCGAGAUGCGCCUUAAUGUUCUUCUUGAUCAGCAGUGUUUUUUUGUUUUGUUUUUUUUGUGAAUAAUAUAAUAGUGAAUAAUAAUAACAGUUUUCCUUUUGCCUAAGAAAGGACUUUAUAAGUCUCUCCAGAGUGGUAUCAAAAGUAACUUUUUCUUUUUUUCCCCCGCAAAAUUAAACCAAAAUGCA